GAUGAAGUACGUAGUGAAAUGCGAUACGUAAUGUGAAUUGCAGAAUUCAGUGAAUCAUCGAGUCUUUGAACGCACAUUGCGCCCCCUGGUAUUCCGGGGGGCAUGCCUGUCCGAGCGUCAUUGCUGCCCUCAAGCACGGCUUGUGUGUUGGGCCUCCGUCCUCCUCCCGGGGGACGGGCCCGAAAGGCAGCGGCGGCACCGCGUCCGGUCCUCGAGCGUAUGCGGCUUCGUCACCCGCUCUUGUAGGCCCGGCCGGCGCUUGCCGACACAUCAAUCUUUUUUCCAGGUUGACCUCGGAUCAGGUAGGGAUACCCGCUGAACUUAAGCAUAUCAAUAAGCGGAGGA
rnacentral:misc_RNA from 1 species